rnacentral:rRNA from 1 species
AUACGGAGGAUGCGAGCGUUAUCCGGAUUUAUUGGGUUUAAAGGGAGCGUAGGUGGGAUGUUAAGUCAGCUGUGAAAGUUUGGGGCUCAACCUUAAAAUUGCAGUUGAUACUGGUUUCCUUGAGUACGGUACAGGUGGGCGGAAUUCGUGGUGUAGCGGUGAAAUGCUUAGAUAUCACGAAGAACUCCGAUCGCGAAGGCAGCUCACCGGGCCGGAACUGACACUGAUGCUCGAAAGUGCGGGUAUCAAACAGGAUUAGAUACCCUGGUAGUCCGCACAGUAAACGAUGAAUACUCGCUGUGUGCGAUGCACUGUAAGCGGCCAAGCGAAAGCGUUAAGUAUUCCACCUGGGGAGUACGCCGGCAACGGUGAAACUCAAAUGAAUUGACGGGG